rnacentral:rRNA from 1 species
AGAGUUUGAUUAUGGCUCAGAUUGAACGCUGGCGGCAGGCUUAACACAUGCAAGUCGAGCGGGGAUAGGGUGCUUGCACCUGAUUCCUAGCGGCGGACGGGUGAGUAAUGCUUAGGAAUCUGCCUAUUAGUGGGGGACAACGUUCCGAAAGGGGCGCUAAUACCGCAUACGUCCUACGGGAGAAAGCAGGGGAUCUUCGGACCUUGCGCUAAUAGAUGAGCCUAAGUCGGAUUAGCUAGUUGGUGGGGUAAAGGCCUACCAAGGCGACGAUCUGUAGCGGGUCUGAGAGGAUGAUCCGCCACACUGGGACUGAGACACGGCCCAGACUCCUACGGGAGGCAGCAGUGGGGAAUAUUGGACAAUGGGGGCAACCCUGAUCCAGCCAUGCCGCGUGUGUGAAGAAGGCCUUUUGGUUGUAAAGCACUUUAAGCGAGGAGGAGGCUUACCUGGUUAAUACCCGGGAUAAGUGGACGUUACUCGCAGAAUAAGCACCGGCUAACUCUGUGCCAGCCGCGGC